rnacentral:rRNA from 1 species
GAUGAACGCUGGCGGCGUGCCUAAUACAUGCAAGUCGAGCGAACGGACGAGAAGCUUGCUUUUCUGAUGUUAGCGGCGGACGGGUGAGUAACACGUGGAUAACCUACCUAUAAGACUGGGAUAACUUCGGGAAACCGGAGCUAAUAUCGGAUAAUAUUUUGAACCGCAUGGUUCAAAAGUGAAAGACGGUCUUGCUGUCACUUAUAGAUGGAUCCGCGCUGCAUUAGCUAGUUGGUAAGGUAACGGCUUACCAAGGCAACGAUGCAUAGCCGACCUGAGAGGGUGAUCGGCCACACUGGAACUGAGACACGGUCCAGACUCCUACGGGAGGCAGCAGUAGGGAAUCUUCCGCAAUGGGCGAAAGCCUGACGGAGCAACGCCGCGUGAGUGAUGAAGGUCUUCGGAUCGUAAAACUCUGUUAUUAGGGAAGAACAUAUGUGUAAGUAACUGUGCACAUCUUGACGGUACCUAAUCAGAAAGCCACGGCUAACUACGU